GGCGAAGUGGUUAACGCACCGGAUUGUGGCUCCGGCAUUCGUGGGUUCGAUUCCCAUC
rnacentral:tRNA from 1 species